GAUUAUGGCUCAGGAUGAACGCUAGCGACAGGCUUAACACAUGCAAGUCGAGGGGCAGCAUAAAAGUAGCAAUACUUGGUGGCGACCGGCGCACGGGUGAGUAACGCGUAUGCAACCUACCUAUCAGAGGGGAAUAACCCGGCGAAAGUCGGACUAAUACCGCAUAAAACAGGGGCACCGCAUGGUGAUAUUUGUUAAAGAGAUUCGCUGAUAGAUGGGCAUGCGUUCCAUUAGGUAGUUGGUGAGGUAACGGCUCACCAAGCCGACGAUGGAUAGGGGAACUGAGAGGUUGGUCCCCCACACUGGUACUGAGACACGGACCAGACUCCUACGGGAGGCAGCAGUGAGGAAUAUUGGUCAAUGGGCGGGAGCCUGAACCAGCCAAGUCGCGUGAAAGGAAGAAGGAUCUAUGGUUCGUAAACUUCUUUUGCAGGGGAAUAGAGUGCAGGACGUGUCCUGUUUUGUAUGUACCCUGAGAAUAAGGAUCGGCUAACUCCGUGCCAGCCGCGGC
rnacentral:rRNA from 1 species